UACGUAGGGGGCUAGCGUUGCUCGGAAUCACUGGGCGUAAAGCGCACGUAGGCGGAUUGCUAAGUCAGGGGUGAAAUCCUGGAGCUCAACUCCAGAACUGCCUUUGAUACUGGCGAUCUUGAGUCCGGGAGAGGUGAGUGGAACUGCGAGUGUAGAGGUGAAAUUCGUAGAUAUUCGCAAGAACACCAGUGGCGAAGGCGGCGCACUGGCCCGGUACUGACGCUGAGGUGCGAAAGCGUGGGGAGCAAACAGG
rnacentral:rRNA from 1 species